rnacentral:rRNA from 1 species
UACGAGGGGGGCAAGCGUUGUUCGGAAUUAUUGGGCGUAAAGGGUGCGUAGGUGGUUUGUUAAGUCUGCUGUGAAAUCCCCGGGCUCAACCUGGGAAUGGCAGUGGAUACUGGCAAGCUAGAGUGCGGUAGAGGGUAGUGGAAUUCCCGGUGUAGCAGUGAAAUGCGUAGAGAUCGGGAGGAACACCAGUGGCGAAGGCGGCUACCUGGACCAGCACUGACACUGAAGCACGAAAGCGUGGGGAGCAAACAGG